UACGUAGGGGGCAAGCGUUGUCCGGAAUCAUUGGGCGUAAAGAGCUCGUAGGCGGUCUGUCGCGUCUGCUGUGAAAUCCCGAGGCUCAACCUCGGGCCUGCAGUGGGUACGGGCAGACUAGAGUGCGGUAGGGGAGAUUGGAAUUCCUGGUGUAGCGGUGGAAUGCGCAGAUAUCAGGAGGAACACCGAUGGCGAAGGCAGAUCUCUGGGCCGUAACUGACGCUGAGGAGCGAAAGCGUGGGGAGCGAACAGG
rnacentral:rRNA from 1 species